rnacentral:rRNA from 1 species
AGUGAACGCUGGCGGUAGGCCUAACACAUGCAAGUCGAACGGCAGCACAGUAAGAGCUUGCUCUUACGGGUGGCGAGUGGCGGACGGGUGAGGAAUACAUCGGAAUCUACUUUUUCGUGGGGGAUAACGUAGGGAAACUUACGCUAAUACCGCAUACGACCUACGGGUGAAAGCAGUGGAUCUUCGGACCUUUCGCGAUUGAAUGAGCCGAUGUCGGAUUAGCUAGUUGGCGGGGUAAAGGCCCACCAAGGCGACGAUCCGUAGCUGGUCUGAGAGGAUGAUCAGCCACACUGGAACUGAGACACGGUCCAGACGCAUACGGGAGGCAGCAGUGGGGAAUAGUGGACAAGGGGCGCAAGCCUGAUCAAGACAUACCGCGUGGGUGAAGAAGGACUUCGGGUUGUAAAGCCCUUUUGUUGGGAAAGAAAAGCAGCAGGUUAAUACCCAGCUGUUCUGACGGUACCCAAAGAAUAAGCAACGGCUAACUUCGUG